CUGGCGGCGUGCCUAACACAUGCAAGUCGAGCGAGGGAAGGGCUUCGGCCCGGAACCGAGCGGCGGACGGGUGAGUAACGCGUGAAUGAUCUGUCCCUUACAGGGGAAUAACACUUGGAAACAGGUGCUAAUACCGCAUAAGACCACGGUGCUGCAUGGCACUGAGGUAAAAGGAGCGAUCCGGUGAGGGGUGAGUUCGCGUCCGAUUAGCCAGUUGGCGGGGUAAGAGCCCACCAAAGCGACGAUCGGUAGCCGACCUGAGAGGGUGAUCGGCCACACUGGAACUGAGACACGGUCCAGACUCCUACGGGAGGCAGCAGUGGGGAAUAUUGGGCAAUGGGCGAAAGCCCUGACCCAGCAACGCCGCGUGAGGGAAGAAGGUUUUCGGAUUGUAAACCUCUAUCGCAGGGGACGAAGGAAGUGACGGUACCCUGCAAGGAAGCCCCGGCUAACUACGUGCCAGCAGCAGC
rnacentral:rRNA from 1 species